ensembl:lncRNA
GUUCGCAGGUCUGUAAUUUCUUUAUAUUCACUGCUGCGAAAAAUGUAUGACUUGUCAUGUCAUUGGCAACGGGUUUUGUGCUUCUAAUUCACAUCUUUCAUAUCAUUCCGCAAUGCAAGUAGUCAUUUAACGUAACUGAAAGUCAUUGAAACUUGAAGUCAGAAGGUGGGUUGCUUCGCAUUUGCGUGAAGAACUAAACGGCAAAAAAAAUCAUUGAACAGAGGUAUUUUGGAGAAAUGUCUUCUAUUGUUUUGGCAAGUAACCAUAUAAUAAGCGGGAUAUUUUUUCUAUUUCCGUAGGCCUACAUUCGUGCGUGUGUGCGUCACUGCGACCACCGCUGAUAAAAAUUGAUAUUACUAUUAAUUUGUAUACUAUUGCAUUGCAAGCUUGCUCUCGUGUGUGUGUGUGUGCCAUGUGUAUUGAUCGUCUGGGAACACCUUUAAUACUGCAAAAAAAUGCUCAUUUUCAAAAUCGUUUUGGUGAAUGUUGAUUAAAUAAUGUUGGCGUUUUUAUCAUGCCUGCACCACAUUUUUUGAUAGCCUAAAUGCAACAUCUACUCUUACCAGUAGCAGUUAAUCAAAACCAUACAAUUUAAUGUUUUUUUAUAAAGAGAUACAACUUAUAUUGAGCAGAAUUGAGUUCAGCCUAUUGGUCCGGCCCUCCACAACAGUCCCACUAUCUCAUGUGGCCCCUUGGGGAAAUUAAUUGCCCACCCCUGAUCUAAUAUAAUCCAUAAUCUGAAUGGCAUGUGCAUAAUAUCAAAGAAUUCCAAAGAAUGUUCUUUCAAUUAUAGUCCACAUGUGUUCGUCACGAAAGCUGGAUCAAAUGAGAAUUCUACAAAAAUGAUAAUUGUGAUAACUGAUGGACGUAUAUUUAUGGACUGGAUGAAUCUGAAAGAGGUUUUGCAAAACCCAAAAAUGAACAAUAUCACCCGCUUUGCUAUUGGGGUGGGGCCUGAUGUACUGAAGAAUGGCAUAGCACUGAAAGAGAUGAGGCAGAUAGCCUCAGACCCAGAUGAUGAACACUUUUUUGAAGUUUAAGAGUAUAAAGCGUUGGAAGCCAUUCUGUACUCAUUACAGUUGGCCAUCACUGAAACAGAUCCGGCAUCUUCCACCUCACAGAUGACACUGGAAUAGAUGGUACGUCUUAUUUUGCUCUGAUCAGUAUUUUACAGAUUUGAAAAUUGAACCAUGAAAACCUAAGCAAUCUUUUUAAUGUAUAGAUUUUACAAUUUUCCAAUGCAACUUUUUUCCCUUUCAGAUGGUGGCAAUGAUUAUGAUGAUGAUGAUGAUGAUGGUGGUGAUGAUGAUGAAGAGAAGGACAUUUGGUUCCAGUACCUUUGCAUACUCGGUCACAAGUAACCAGAUCCUUGGCAACAGUGAAAUGUUUUUUUAAAACAUAAUUGUUUUUCCAGUGAUAAGGCUUUGGUUGGUCACACAUCCAAUCUCUCUUUCUCAUUUUGGUGCCACCAGAUUAUUCAAGUUGCUGAUUACAUAUCUGAUUAUCUGAAAUAUUCAAUGCAUAAUUUACAGAGUUUUAUUUUAAUCUCUUUCUUAAAUAGUUUUUAAGCAAUGUUGUGUAUUACAUUAUAACAUGUCAGCUUUAAUGUAACUUCUCUAGCGUCUACAUUACCUGCCCCUUUACAUACUUGUUACACACAGUCUUAAGCCAUGAAUACUGAGGGUGACGCCCUUGUUUCUCAGAGAGCAUUUAACAAGCAAGCCUUCAAUGGAUAAAUCAGAUAAUCUUAGGUGAAGCUCUGGGCGAGUGGAACCCAGGCUCUUUUUCACAAUGGUUGGCCACCGUUGUUCAAGAUUAAAACCUGUUUCAUUGACUGACAAAUCCAAGACUGGGUCUCCAAUGGUAUACAAUUAAAUACUGUCAGUGUUCAUGUAAUCCAGUGUCACAAUGCCCUUCUGGGUUCUGCUCCUUCAACUCAAGAUAUAACCGUUAUUACACACUCUGUCUAUGCCAUGUGAUAUUACAUCACGCCACAGUUGUGAAGCUUCCAGGCCAGCUUGCUCUGUAUACUACUGGUAUAUCAUUUGUGCUUUCUGUAUUUUAUGAAUUGUUAGUUUAAAGAAACUUGAAGAUUACUUUUCCAAUAAAUGUUUUGGCAUUCAGCA